GACGAACGCUGGCGGCGUGCUUAACACAUGCAAGUCGAACGGAAAGGCCCAGCUUGCUGGGUGCUCGAGUGGCGAACGGGUGAGUAACACGUGGGUGAUCUGCCUCUAACUUCGGGAUAAGCUUGGGAAACUGGGUCUAAUACCGGAUAGGACAAUCGUUUAGUGUCGGUUGUGGGAAGUUUUUUCGGUUAGGGAUGAGCCCGCGGCCUAUCAGCUUGUUGGUGGGGUAAUGGCCUACCAAGGCGUCGACGGGUAGCCGGCCUGAGAGGGUGGACGGCCACAUUGGGACUGAGAUACGGCCCAGACUCCUACGGGAGGCAGCAGUGGGGAAUAUUGCACAAUGGGCGCAAGCCUGAUGCAGUGACGCCGCGUGGGGGAUGACGGCCUUCGGGUUGUAAACCUCUUUCGACAGGGACGAAGCUUUGGUGACGGUACCUGUAUAAGAAGCACCGGCUAACUACGUGCCAGCAGCCGCAGUAAUAC
rnacentral:rRNA from 1 species